rnacentral:rRNA from 2 species
UGCAAGUCGUGCGGACCUUUUAAAAGCUUGCUUUUAAAAGGUUAGCGGCGGACGGGUGAGUAACACGUGGGCAACCUGCCUGUAAGACUGGGAUAACGCCGGGAAACCGGGGCUAAUACCGGAUAGUUUUUUCCUCCGCAUGGAGGAAAAAGGAAAGGCGGCUUCGGCUGCCACUUACAGAUGGGCCCGCGGCGCAUUAGCUAGUUGGCGGGGUAACGGCCCACCAAGGCAACGAUGCGUAGCCGACCUGAGAGGGUGAUCGGCCACAUUGGGACUGAGACACGGCCCAAACUCCUACGGGAGGCAGCAGUAGGGAAUCUUCCGCAAUGGACGAAAGUCUGACGGAGCAACGCCGCGUGAGUGAAGAAGGCCUUCGGGUCGUAAAACUCUGUUGCCGGGGAAGAACAAGUGCCGUUCGAACAGGGCGGCGCCUUGACGGUACCCGGCCAGAAAGCCACGGCUAACUACGUGCCAGCAGCCGCGGUAAUACGUAGGUGGCAAGCGUUGUCCGGGAAUUAUUGGGCGUAAAGCGCGCGCAGGCGGCUUCUUAAGUCUGAUGUGAAAUCUUGCGGCUCAACCGCAAGCGGUCAUUGGAAACUGGGAGGCUUGAGUGCAGAAGAGGAGAGUGGAAUUCCACGUGUAGCGGUGAAAUGCGUAGAGAUGUGGAGGAACACCAGUGGCGAAGGCGGCUCUCUGGUCUGUAACUGACGCUGAGGCGCGAAAGCGUGGGGAGCAAACAGGAUUAGAUACCCUGGUAGUCCACGCCGUAAACGAUGAGUGCUAAGUGUUAGAGGGUUUCCACCCUUUAGUGCUGCAGCUAACGCAUUAAGCACUCCGCCUGGGGAGUACGGCCGCAAGGCUGAAACUCAAAGGAAUUGACGGGGGCCCGCACAAGCGGUGGAGCAUGUGGUUUAAUUCGAAGCAACGCGAAGAACCUUACCAGGUCUUGACAUCCUCUGACCUCCCUGGAGACAGGGCCUUCCCCUUCGGGGGACAGAGUGACAGGUGGUGCAUGGUUGUCGUCAGCUCGUGUCGUGAGAUGUUGGGUUAAGUCCCGCAACGAGCGCAACCCUUGACCUUAGUUGCCAGCAUUCAGUUGGGCACUCUAAGGUGACUGCCGGUGACAAACCGGAGGAAGGUGGGGAUGACGUCAAAUCAUCAUGCCCCUUAUGACCUGGGCUACACACGUGCUACAAUGGAUGGUACAAAGGGCUGCGAGACCGCGAGGUUAAGCCAAUCCCAGAAAACCAUUCCCAGUUCGGAUUGCAGGCUGCAACCCGCCUGCAUGAAGCCGGAAUCGCUAGUAAUCGCGGAUCAGCAUGCCGC